AAAAAUUAAAAAAAGACAUAUCAAACAUGCAAAUACUUGAAUCCAGCAGGCCAAUAGUGAAAUGUGAACACUUUCUAAUUCUACACUUCCAGGUUGACAUCAGUACACAGAAACAGGCUCUAGGAAAAAUUUCUAAGUUCAUAGCCUCCGUGUGUGUGUAUGUGUGCGUGUUGAAACAAGUGUGUGUGCGUGUGUGGCGCGUGCUCCUGCACGGCGUGCAUUUUCUUUGUGUGUGUGUUUGAAAGCGUGUGAGGAUUUAACUGUGGGUUUUCCCUUGUAUUCAGUAUAUGCUUUUUUUUUUUUGGCGCAUUGGUCAAACGUUUGUUAUUAUUAGCUUCUAACUUUGCACUGAGUGUCCUCGCCCUUCCUUUAGCUAAUCCUAUACAUUACAGAGAAUUCCUAGGACAGGGCUGGCGACAAUUCAUGUGUAAAUGUUUACUCAAGGACUCUGUGACUGCGUUUAAAAAGUACAGUGUAUAUCUCUGGAGAAAUAAUAUGUAUACCUACCUUUAGCAGCUUUUUAUUGUGGACUAAUGCAAGAAAAUUAUUACCAGAGUAUUGCACCAUUUUUCCAUUUGGAAUAUAAAGUUAAAGAGAAAAAAAAAAAAAACUUGUUGAACUGUGGCCAUAGAUACUUGUAAAGAAUGGAUGGUUCCGUGGAAGGAACAGAAACAAGCACUUGGGCGUGGGUUGUGACUGCUUUUGGGGGAGCCUGGGGUUUGGGCUCCCACCUGUUUACAGACCUUUUUUUCUCCUUCAGACUUUAAAAUUUUAAAAAUUUAAAAAGGAAUUAAAAAAAAAAAAAAAAGACUUCCGUCGUAAAGAAACCUAUUUUCAGAAUGCAGAUGCGCUCCUUCAGAGCUCUGGACGGGACAGUGCUGUUCCCUCGGCCAUCGUCAUGGACUCUGUCGAUUGCUUUCGCCCCUUCGUCAAGGUGACAGGCGUUGUGGCCACUGUCUUGCACAUGCCGGACGCGCUCUCAGGAAAGCCAGGGCUCCCGAGGGCAGCUCCACACCAUUUCAUGUAUUUUUAAACCCAACUCCUAGCACUGAAGAUGUUAUUUAAAAAAAAAAAAAAAAAGACAAAAAAAUGAAAAAAAAGAAAAAGAGGAAAAAAAAAACACAAAGAAGAAAAAUACCUAAUCUCUAAUGUGUAGCAGUUACAUAUUUACCAAAUAACGGACUCAAAAGAAAUAGAUGUUUGAAGAGUGCUUUAUAUAUUAAAAAUUGCUUUAUGUUUUAAAAAUGAUCAAUGUUUUGAUUGUUUUGCAAGGAAGAAAGACAAUGGAAUAACAUACCCUCAAGUAUGUUUUAAAAUAUAUAUAUAUAUGAACAUUGUGCUCCCUGCCUGCUUGAUCAGGAAACUUGUGCAUUACAUUUUUUUUAAUUAGCUUUUUAAUGGUUUUAUCAAAACAAAAAAAUACAAAAAAAAAAAAAAAAGUCCUGCAAGAUUGCAGAUCCACAAAAGCUGGUUUUAUAGAGGAUCAUGAACUAUGCACAAACUGGGUUCAAGACUUUUUUUCUCAAGUUUAGUAGGAUAUUUAGCAAAACCAACCUUCCUCAGAGUGACUGCAUCUCAUUGCCAUUACAUGCGUUCUAUAUAUUUGAUGGACAUACACACCUGCGUAUGUAUAUCCAAUAUGUGUGCGUGUGAGCGUGCGUGUGCGUAUGUGCGCCCGACAUACCACUUCCCGUGCUGCCGGCGAGCAUUGAGUUGUAGAAAAUCUCCUGUUGUUUUAAAAUUGGGGAUGGAAGUCAAGAAUAUGUUUGUUUGUUUUUGGGUUUUGUUGGGUUUGUUUGAGGCUUUUUUUUGUUUUGUUUGUUUUGUUUUGGUUUUUUUUGACCUUUUAUUUUGAACUUAGUAUGUCUGUAACUCUGAGAUUAAAAAACAAGUUUGUGGCUCUUAAUGUUUUCCUCAUAGAAUGUGAUUGUUGAAGAACAUGCAUCGAAAGUUGCUUUCGAAAGUACAACGCUUUAUUGAAUCUUAAUAAAUUGCAAUUUUUUUUCUUGGCUGUUCAAAGUAAUGUGUUUUUCAUUUUUCAAAACAGAUACUAUGGAUGUCUGCUUUGUACGCUGCAAUGGGGAGAGCUAUCCCGCUGCGUGCAUUCCCUCUGUAAUUUCCUCAGAGCUCAAAUACGUACCUCUCUCAUGAGUGAACUCAGACUUCCUGUUGUUUUGCUUUAUUCUAUCAUUUGCUGUGUGGUUUUGCUGUAACUAUUGAAAUCUUAAUCGUUGAGAGGCACAACCAAGCUUUCUAGCUCUCCACCCCCGCAGCCCAUCCGAGUCUGUUCAUCUGGUAACUUCUGUUUGGGAUGGCAGCAAGAAGAGGCUGGGGCCCGCCUGGAGUCCUGGCAGAGGAGUGCCACUCACUUUUGCCUAGGGUCCAGUUUGGGCUUAAAAAAUGUUCAAAGAGAAGAAGAAUGAGGAUUUUUUUGUGUUUUCUAGACAUUUUAUGCAUUUAUUUUUGUAAAAUCACCUUCGCUCACUUUCACCGAGCACUUGGAGCACAGUGGAACUUCGGAAGCAGCACCAGCCUCACCCCAGAAUCUCAGUUGGCAUAGCUAGAAACUGAGUCCCUUCCUAGGACACUGGCCAUGGCCUUCAGGGUGUCCAGUCAGUGCCACCGGUGUGGCAUUGGUGUUACAGACUAGGCCUCUGAAGACAAACCAAGCACCCCGGUGGCCCCUCACUCACACUAAGCAAAGGUCUUUUUUGUCUCCACUCCCUGGGGAAAGGUCAAAGGUGGACCUGCCCACUUUGAGUCAAUUCCUUCAAAGAGAUGGGACCCGCACCCUGCCACAGGCUGCCCCCCCUCCACCAUGGGGAAGGCGGGGUGCUGCUGGCUCCGACCAUUCUCUUUUGGAUAUUGAGAAGGAAAGCACUGAGUGGGACCUAAUCCGGAAAAGAAAGACCAGAAAAGGAAGCUGGGAAUGAAACUCAAGAUGCGCCUGAACCUGGAAGUGGCAACCCUCAGCUCUGCGCGGAGCCUCAGCAAGAGUUCCUUUUGUGCCUGCGUUACGAUGGAGCAAACCGCACCCAUGCCUGUGCGCUGGGAGACAAGGUCAGCGCCCAAGGGCAUGCAAAGGAUGUGGCAGGCUUCACGGAGGAGGUGGCAUCUGCUCUGGGCCUGGGAGACCAGGUUGGAUUUUGACAGACUGGCAACUUGGGGGACAGACGGGGAGCAGUGUAAGCUAAAGCCCCAUGUAGGGACCCCACACAAAGACCUUGUGGGCUUCCAGGGCACCAUCUCCACCCAUGGGUGGGAAGGAGGCUUGAAGAAAACAGGUUCUUCACCUGCAUCUGUGGAUAUUUGUUAGGUUUGUUAAUUUUUUUUUUUAAUG